rnacentral:rRNA from 1 species
GACGAACGCUGGCGGCGUGCCUAAUACAUGCAAGUUGAGCGAUGAAGAUUGGUGCUUGCACCAAUUUGAAGAGCAGCGAACGGGUGAGUAACGCGUGGGUAAUCUGCCUUUGAGCGGGGGACAACAUUUGGAAACGAAUGCUAAUACCGCAUAACAACUUUAAACAUAAGUUUUAAGUUUGAAAGAUGCAAUUGCAUCACUCAAAGAUGAUCCCACGUUGUAUUAGCUAGUUGGUGAGGUAAAGGCUCACCAAGGCGAUGAUACAUAGCCGACCUGAGAGGGUGAUCGGCCACAGUGGGACUGAGACACGGCCCAAACUCCUACGGGAGGCAGCAGUAGGGAAUCUUCGGCAAUGGACGAAAGUCUGACCGAGCAACGCCGCGUGAGUGAAGAAGGUUUUCGGAUCGUAAAACUCUGUUGGUAGAGAAGAACGUUGGUGAGAGUGGAAAGCUCAUCAAGUGACGGUAACUACCCAGAAAGGGACGGCUAACUACGUG